AACGAACGCUGGCGGCAUGCCUAACACAUGCAAGUCGAACGAGAUCUUCGGGUCUAGUGGCGCACGGGUGCGUAACGCGUGGGAAUCUGCCCUUCGGUUCGGAAUAACAGUUGGAAACGACUGCUAAUACCGGAUGAUGACGAAAGUCCAAAGAUUUAUCGCCAGAGGAUGAGCCCGCGUAGGAUUAGCUAGUUGGUGUGGUAAAGGCGCACCAAGGCGACGAUCCUUAGCUGGUCUGAGAGGAUGAUCAGCCACACUGGGACUGAGACACGGCCCAGACUCCUACGGGAGGCAGCAGUGGGGAAUAUUGGACAAUGGGCGCAAGCCUGAUCCAGCCAUGCCGCGUGAGUGAUGAAGGCCUUAGGGUUGUAAAGCUCUUUCACCGGAGAAGAUAAUGACGGUAUCCGGAGAAGAAGCCCCGGCUAACUUCGUGCCAGCCGCCGCUGUAA
rnacentral:rRNA from 1 species